UCCGAGUUGUCCCCGGCAGUCCUCUUAGAGUCCCCGGCAUUACCCGCUGGCAACUAAGAGUAGGGGUUGCGCUCGUUGCGGCACUUAAGCCAACACCUCACGGCACGAGCUGACGACAGCCAUGCAGUACCUGUGCUAGCCCCUUACGGACACGGCUGUCAGGUAAAUGUCAAGCCCAGGUAAGGUUCUUCGCGUUGCGUCGAAUUAAACCACAUGCUCCGCUGCUUGUGCGGGCCCCCGUCAAUUCUUUUGAGUUUUAGCCUUGCGGCCGUACUCCCCAGGCGGAACACUUAACGCGUUGGCUGCGGCACAGAGGGAUUCGACUCCCCCCACACCUAGUGUUCAUCGUUUACGGCAUGGACUAC
rnacentral:misc_RNA from 1 species